rnacentral:rRNA from 1 species
AUUCGCCCUUAGAGUUUGAUUCUCGGCUCAGGAUGAACGCUGGCGGCGUGCCUAAUACAUGCAAGUCGAGCGAACCACUUCGGUGGGAAGCGGCGAACGGGUGAGUAACACGUAGGUGAUCUGCCCAUCAGACGGGGACAACGAUUGGAAACGAUCGCUAAUACCGGAUAGGACGAAAGUUUAAAGAUGCUCCUGGCAUCACUGAUGGAUGAGCCUGCGGCGCAUUAGCUAGUUGGUGGGGUAAAGGCCUACCAAGGCGACGAUGCGUAGCCGACCUGAGAGGGUGAACGGCCACACUGGGACUGAGACACGGCCCAGACUCCUACGGGAGGCAGCAGUAGGGAAUCUUCGGCAAUGGGCGAAAGCCUGACCGAGCAACGCCGCGUGAAUGAAGAAGGCCUUCGGGUUGUAAAAUUCUGUUAUAAGGGAAGAAAGGUGAUAGGAGGAAAUGACUAUCAAUUGACGGUACCUUAUGAGAAAGCCACGGCUAACUACGUGCCAGCAGCCGCGGUAAUACGUAGGUGGCAAGCGUUAUCCGGAAUUAUUGGGCGUAAAGAGCGCGCAGGUGGUUAAUUAAGUCUGAUGUGAAAGCCCACGGCUUAACCGUGGAGGGUCAUUGGAAACUGGUUGACUUGAGUGCAGAAGAGGGAAGUGGAAUUCCAUGUGUAGCGGUGAAAUGCG